AACGAACGCUGGCGGCAUGCCUAACACAUGCAAGUCGAACGAGACCUUCGGGUCUAGUGGCGCACGGGUGCGUAACGCGUGGGAACCUGCCCUUAGGUUCGGAAUAACUCCCCGAAAGGGGUGCUAAUACCGGAUAAUGUCUUCGGACCAAAGAUUUAUCGCCUUUGGAUGGGCCCGCGUUGGAUUAGCUAGUUGGUAGGGUAAAAGCCUACCAAGGCGACGAUCCAUAGCUGGUCUGAGAGGAUGAUCAGCCACACUGGGACUGAGACACGGCCCAGACUCCUACGGGAGGGAGCAGUGGGGAAUAUUGGACAAUGGGGGAAAGCCUGAUCCAGCAAUGCCGCGUGAGUGAUGAAGGCCUUAGGGUUGUAAAGCUCUUUUACCCGGGAUGAUAAUGACAGUACCGGGAGAAUAAGCUCCGGCUAACUCCGUG
rnacentral:rRNA from 1 species